UACGGAAGGCAGCAGUGGGGAAUAUUGCACAAUGGGCGAAAGCCUGAUGCAGCUAUGCCGCGUGUAUGAAGAAGGCCUUAGGGUUGUAAAGUACUUUCAUCGGGGAGGAAAAAACAAAACUAAUAAUUUUAUUUCUUGACGUUACCCGAAAAAGAAGCACCGGCUAACUCCGUGCCAGCAGCCGCGGUAAUACGGAGGGUGCUAGCGUUAAUCAGAAUUACUGGGCGUAAAGAGCACGUAGGUGGUUUUUUUAAGUCAGAUGUGAAAUCCCUGGGCUUUAACCUAGGAACUGCAUUUUGAAACUGAAAUACUAGAGUAUCGUAGAGGGAGGUAGAAUUCUAGGUGUAGCGGUGAAAUGCGUAGAUAUCUGGAGGAAUACCGUGUGGCGAAAGCGGCCUCCUAAACGAAUACUGACACUGAGGGUGCGAAAGCGUGGGGAGCAAACAGGGAUUAGAUACCCG
rnacentral:rRNA from 1 species